rnacentral:rRNA from 1 species
UGGGGAAUAUUGCACAAUGGGGGAAACCCUGAUGCAGCGACGCCGCGUGAGCGAAGAAGGCUUUCGAGUCGUAAAGCUCUGUCCUAUGAGAAGAUAAUGACGGUAUCAUAGGAGGAAGCCCUGGCUAAAUACGUGCCAGCAGCCGCGGUAAUACGUAUGGGGCGAGCGUUGUCCGGAAUUAUUGGGCGUAAAGGGUACGUAGGUGGUUUUUUAAGUCAGGUGUCAAAGCGUGGAGCUUAACUCCAUUAAGCACUUGAAACUGAAAGACUUGAGUGAAGGAGAGGAAAGUGGAAUUCCUAGUGUAGCGGUGAAAUGCGUAGAUAUUAGGAGGAAUACCGGUGGCGAAGGCGGCCUUCUGGGCCAUAACUGACGCUGAGGAGCGAAAGCUAGGGGAGCGAACAGG